GCAAUAAAACUGAUUCAAAUACUUCAGUUUGCACUAAACCUGCGCUGCAACUCUUACAUCAGAAUUAAUAUUCAGAAUCGCUGGUAGUGGUAGAGUGAGCGUUCCUCUCUCACCCUCCCCCCCCUUCAUACUUCGUCUCUCUGCGUCCUGAGAGCUCGGAGUAUAGAAGCAUUAGAGAUGUCAACCUGCACAACCUCCUUGGAAAGGUCGUUAUCAUUUAUUUCUGUCUUAUCUUGAAAUAAAUGAUUUGUAUAACUUUA